rnacentral:ncRNA from 1 species
AUGGCUUAUUUAGCUGUCGUUGAAGGAUGAGCUUGCGGCCUAUCAGUUUGUUGGCGGGGUAAUGGCCCACCAAGACUAUGACGGGUAGCCGGCCUGAGAGGGUGAUCGGCCAGAUUGGAACUGAGACACGGUCCAGACUCCUACGGGAGGCAGCAGUGAGGAAUCUUGCGCAAUGGGCGAAAGCCUGACGCAGCGACGCCGCGUGGAGGAUGACGGUCUUCGGAUUGUAAACUCCUGUUAAGUGGGAAGAAAGAAUCGUUCUUAAUAGGAACGAGUGAUGACGGUACCAUUAGAGAAAGCACCGAAGGGCGAAUUCG